GCCGGUUUAGCUCAGUUGGUAGAGCGCCGCCUUUGUAACGCGGAUGUCAUGGGUUCGACUCCUGUAACCGGCACCA
rnacentral:tRNA from 1 species